UUGGGUUGCUGAAUUAGAGAUCGGCACCCGUUUAAUUAUCUAUAAUAUUUUGGAGUAAGAUUAUGUCUCUAAGCGUUGAAGCUAAGGCUCAGAUCGUUUCCGACUUCGGUCGCGGCACU
rfam:Rahnella aquatilis CIP 78.65 = ATCC 33071, complete genome.